rnacentral:rRNA from 1 species
AGAGUUUGAUCCUGGCUCAGAUUGAACGCUGGCGGCAGGCUUAACACAUGCAAGUCGAGCGGGGGAGGUUGCUUCGGUAAUUGACCUAGCGGCGGACGGGUGAGUAAUACUUAGGAAUCUGCCUAUUAAUGGGGGACAACAUCUCGAAAGGGAUGCUAAUACCGCAUACGCCCUACGGGGGAAAGCAGGGGAUCACUUGUGACCUUGCGUUAAUAGAUGAGCCUAAGUCGGAUUAGCUAGUUGGUGGGGUAAAGGCCUACCAAGGCGACGAUCUGUAGCGGGUCUGAGAGGAUGAUCCGCCACACUGGGACUGAGACACGGCCCAGACUCCUACGGGAGGCAGCAGUGGGGAAUAUUGGACAAUGGGGGGAACCCUGAUCCAGCCAUGCCGCGUGUGUGAAGAAGGCCUUAUGGUUGUAAAGCACUUUAAGCGAGGAGGAGGCUCUUUUGGUUAAUACCCAAGAUGAGUGGACGUUACUCGCAGAAUAAGCGCCGGCUAACUCUGUGCCAGCAGCCGCGGUAAUACAGAGGGUGCGAGCGUUAAUCGGAUUUACUGGGCGUAAAGCGUGCGUAGGCGGCUUUUUAAGUCGGAUGUGAAAUCCCCGAGCUUAACUUGGGAAUUGCAUUCGAUACUGGGAAGCUAGAGUAUGGGAGAGGAUGGGUAGAAUUCCAGGUGUAGCGGUGAAAUGCGUAGAGAUCUGGAGGAAUACCGAUGGCGAAGGCAGCCAUCUGGCCUAAUACUGACGCUGAGGUACGAAAGCAUGGGGAGCAAACAGGAUUAGAUACCCUGGUAGUCCAUGCCGUAAACGAUGUCUACUAGCCGUUGGGGUCUUUGAGACUUUAAUGGCGCACCUAACGGCAAUAAGUAGAACCGCCUGAGGAGUACGGUCGCCAGAACUAAAACUCAAAUGGAUUUGACGG